rfam:Pseudoalteromonas phenolica strain KCTC 12086 chromosome II, complete sequence.
GGCUUAAAAUAGCAAACCUUUCGAAAGAAAGGGACGCAAAGCUUCCGGUCUAAGGUGAAAACUAAGAUAGCGGGGUUGCUGAA